GGUAGUGUAGUUAACACCUGCAUUAUUUGACGUUACCUACAGAAGAAGCACCGGCUAACUCCGUGCCAGCAGACCGCGGUAAUACGGAGGGUGCGAGCGUUAAUCGGAAUUACUGGGCGUAAAGCGCAUGCAGGCGGCCUGUUAAGUCAGAUGUGAAAGCCCGGGGGCUUAACCUCGGAAUUGCAUUUGAAACUGGCAGGCUAGAGUCUUGUAGAGGGGGGUAGGAAUUUCAGGUGUAAGCGGUGAAAUGCGUAGAGAUCUGAAGGAAUACCAGUGGCGAAGGCGGCCCCCUGGACAAAGACUGACGCUCAGAUGCGAAAGCGUGGGGAGCAAACAGGAUUAGACUACCCUGGUAG
rnacentral:rRNA from 1 species